CAGGCGUCCAAUAAGGGGUUCUCCGGUCUCCUCAUUGUGCAUGCUGUGUG
rnacentral:pre_miRNA from 1 species